GGGAUAACUUGUAAAAAAAAAAAAAAAAAAAAAAAAUCCAUUUGAAGCCUCCUUGCGCUCAGCGAGGUUGAUUCAGAUUUUAGCUACUGAAAGCACGGCACUAAAUGAGCAGGAAGAGCUGACUGCUCCCUCCAGAGUGAUGAAUAAGUAAUACUUUAAAGUGAAACCAGAGAAAAGCCUGGACUCAAAGACAAACCGGGAGAUCUUUUGGGAAGUUUGGCAAUAAAGGUUGGAAUGAGAUGGGAGGGGGCUCGUUAAAAGGAGGGAGAGGGAUUUUCUAGACGGUGAAUAUUUCUUUUUUGACUUUAACUUUUUCUUCCAGGCUUUUUCUCCUGGAGUGACAGGAGAAGAGGCAAUGGUUUUAAACUGACGGAAGGCAGGUUUAGAUUAGGAAGGAACAGCUCCUGUGAGGGCGGGCAGGCCCUGGCACAGCGAGCCACAGAAGCGGUGGCUGCCCCGUCCCUAGGAGCGUCCAAGGCCAGGCUGGGCGGGGCUGCAAGAAACAAGUAAAAGGUGUCCCCGCCACACAGUGGUGCCACUGGAUGAUCUUUAAUGUCCCUUCCAAACUCGGACUAUCCCGCGGUUCUGUGAUAAAGGAAGCUCUGCCCCCAGACGAGCUCCGCGCUCCCCGCACGGAAUCACCUCUCCCCUCGGGCCCCCCCACCCGGCUGUGCCCAAUGGUCGCUCCCGCGCUGCCACGGCAACGGCGCCGCGCUCGGGGACCGCGGGCGGUGCGGCCGGGACGGCCACAGGGACCGGGACCGGGGCAGGGAUCGGCACCGGGACAGCCCCCGCGGGGGUGAGCCCUCAGCACCGCCUCAGCUCCGGCCGGCGUGAGCCCUCAGCACCGCCUCAGCUCCGGCCGGGGUGAGCCCUCAGCACCGCCUCAGCUCCGGCCGGCGUGAGCCCUCAGUUCCCCCUCAGCACCGCCUCAGCUCCGGCCGGGAGCAGCGGUCGGGACCGAACACACUCCACAAACCCAUCCCACAUCGGAGCCUGAGAGGAGCUUUAAAGGCAGGCCCUGCCCUCCCCAGGGAGCUGAGAUCCACGAGCUGCAGAAGUUUCCAGGCACCCUGAGAAGUUGUGCUGGGCAUCAUGAAUGUCAGUGAUUUUGUAAUUCUCCCAGGCUCAAAAGCUGGAACCUCAGUGAGAUUAAAAACAAAAACUGUCAAGGAAUUGCAGUUGGAGAAAGUGCAGUUAGAAACAGAAAACAAAGAGAUGGAGAAGAGAUUGCGGCAGCUGCAGUCAAACAUGAGCAGAGAGAAAGAAGAGAGGAGGAAGUUAGGUGCUUAUCACUGGAAAUCUGGGCAGGCAGGACCAAGGACCACCCCACCCCGAGCUGGGGAACAAAAUAAUGAAAACAGGAAGAAGGUUUCUCCAGCCAAAGUGAAGUUGCAAGUACUCAAGGAACAGAUUCAAGAGCCAGUAAAAAAACCAGCUAAGCCCGAAAGAGAUGUAGCUCAUGAAAAAUUGGGAGUGAAGGGUGUGGCCUGUGGAUCACCUGAAAUUAAGGGUGGGCUGCUGGAACCAGCCUCAGAAUCAGCCUGUGCAAGCCUUGGAAAGCAGGACCAAGGCUUGUUGCUGAGUGGUGCCUUUGAUGAGGAGGCGUCUGCAAAGACUUUUCAGGAAGCCUUGCUGCAGUGGAGAAAAGGUAGAAGUGAUCCUGGAGGAGAUCCGUGUGCCAGUGGGGUCCCGUCAGAGCCUGUGGGGGUUUGUGAGGUACAGACCAAUGUCACUGCUCUGAAGGAGCCCAUCCAUGUGGAAUUCCAGAAGGAUGGCCUGAGCUACAUGGAGAAACUCCUGCUGAAGAAAUACAGAAGAGCUCCUGUGGAGGAGUUUUUUGCAAGUUGCAUGAAAGAUUCAAGGCCUGUGCAAGCCCUGAGUGUUCACCAGGCUGGGGCUGGAGGAGGGGGACAAGGAGAUGAUGAUGAUGAUGGUGACAUUGAGGAGUUAACAGCUGAAGAGGUGAAGAAAUACUGGGCAUCUGUUUAUAGAGUUGAAGAAUCCAACUCUGUUUCUGAAAAUGUAGAGUCCUCUUUGAAAAUUGAGUUCCUUGAUGAUUCUCAUAGCAAGGACUUGGAAGACUCUUCAGUGGAAGAAACUGGAGCUGUGGGGAUGAAUCAGCAAGGAAAAACUGCCCCACUGGAGUGUGGAAGAAAUCCUGUUUCUCCUAAAGAAAUUUCUCAAGAAAAACUGAUUGUCUGCAGUGAUCUUGAAAUCAAUGCAGUGCAGGAGGGGAGUAUUAAACCAAAGGCUGGGAGGAGAUCACUGAGCCCCUGUGAAGUUCCUGAGGAGAUCUCUGAGCCCCCUGAAGGAGUGAGCAAAGAUCUCCUUGGGACUGGACUGAAGAGCACCAGAGAUCUCCUGGAGACUGAACUGCAGAAAAACAGCAGAGAGCCACAAGAGCUGGGCAGUGUCUGCAAUAGCCACAGUUUGGUCUCACCUGUAAUUCCAAAAUCUUCAGCAUUACAGGAUGUGGCCAAAAGACAGAAAUGUGGUCCUACAUCUUAUCAGGGACUUGAAGGCUUCUUCAUUGUAGGUGCAAACCCUAAAGAGGAAAAGCUGGAGGCUCCUCCUUCCCUUUCUGCUGCCUCCAGCCCCAGGGACAGGAGGAGCCCUUUUCCAGGAGAUGGGCAGUGGGUUUGUGAAAGGAGCCUGAGUGAAUUCGCUGAUGACUCUGUAGUUCGAGCUGUCUUGGAAAGUCAACGGAGCAGAGCUGCAAAUGCUCUCCAGGCUCAGAACCAACCUCCUCUGAUGGCAGCAUGGAUGCCAUGGCCUGGCCCUGAAAAUUGUUCCAACUUAACUUGUGAAGAUGGAACCUCCUCCAGCAGAGCCUGGGAGGAAAUCUUUGGAAAUGCAGAUUUGCAGAACACUCUGGAGAUGGAAGACCACAACACAUUUGAUAUUUUUGGAUGGAAUUUUGUGUCUCCUGAUGUGGUUUUAUGUUGCCAAGCUGGAAGGUGCCACACCAGGGGUGUUACUGGGAUAAACUGGGGUCUCUGUAUGAUCAGGUUUGUGGUGAGAAGCACUGGAGUUGUCUCUAAGGUCAAGUACACUUUGUCACGUGUUUUAGAAGGGACUUGCACCUUGCAGAAUAGAAUUUAACAGCUUUCCACAGUACAUUUAAUUUCUCCUGCUGCACUCCUUUCUUCCUAACUCCAGCAGGGAGCCCAGACCAGCAGCAAACCCCUGCUCAGAAUCAAUUGGGAGUGAAUUCUCUUUCUUUCCCUGCUCCAAAAUUCCAGUUCAGAGGGAUCUGUGUCCAGACAAAUCCAGCUGUGCUGUAAGUUACUGCCUUACAGGCCUUUGAUAAUUAAAAGAAUAAAGAAGAAAUGCAGUUAAAAUCAUCCUGGGUGGUUUUAAUUUUAACAAACAGCCCCAACUGUCCUUUUGAACUUGCUGUAUUUGUGUUGUCUAAAGAGCUUUUUUCUUCCUGCUCCCCAGAAAGUGUAAGGUUUAAUGCAAUUAAUGUAAUUUCUGUAAAAGGUCAUUUGGCCAGUGUGGUGCUUUGAUGUAAAGAGGGUUUGGGGAUUUUCUGCUCUCUUGUUGAGGAGAUGUUUAAUUGUACCCAGUAAUUGAGUGGCUUUGAAAUUACCUAACUGGUAUCUUUAGCUAACAUCUUCAGGAUUCUCAGAUGCAGCAGCUUGCUUAGCUUUAAAGUUCUCUUUCCCUUCAUGUGCUUGGCUUUUUCCUUCUUUUGUUUCCUCAGUUGUGGAUUUUAAGGAAAACUUCCUCCUUCUCCCCUAGUUUUGAUAGUAAAGGUGUAUCAAAAGCAGUGACAAAGAUUUGUCUUUUUGUGUUGGGAAAUUUUGAAAGUGGGAUUAAUCAGAAGCUUUUGUCUGACAAUUGUUCUUGAAUGUUUAUGGGUGAACUGCCCGGCAAGGCUCUAAAAUUCCUGGGAAUUGCUAUCCUCAGAAAUUUUCCUGUAGAAAGAGAAGCUUUAAAUUCUGCUUUUCUGUGUUCAGAGGUGGCAGGUGCCCUUCACUAAUGGAUCAGUGGAUGCAUUCCAGUCUCUUAUUUGGUUUGUGGCAGUUAAACCCACUCUGGUUUGGAUUCUCGCCACAGCCCUGGACUCUGAGGUGUUAUCUGCCCCCCCAGCAGCUCUGCACUAAUACCAGACAACCCUGUAAUCUUUGCAACAAUUUCUUUUACAGGAAAAAAUACUUCAGCCACCCUAAUUCAUACAAACUAGAGGCAUCAGGCUGAACAGACCAUUGAUUUGAUUUCCUGCCUCAUUUCGUGUCUUUAAGGUUUUAUUUUUAUUUCUACCUGUACCUGUUGUAGGGGAGCCUGAUCCAUAGCCAAGUGCUGAGGGAUUUGCACAGAAGAAUCAUCUUUCCAGUCUGUUUAGAGAAAAAGAAAAGAAUGAAAUACCAGUUUAAUUUUUGGAGUUUCUGGGAACAGGCAGCAGGGCCAGCCUGGAGCAGCCUGGGCUGGGGAAGUGUCCCUGCCGUGGGACAGCCCGGCCACAGGAUGAGCUUCAGGGCCCUUCCAACCCAAACCAUUCUGGCCUUCUGUGGAUAAUGGUCUGGAAAGGCUAAAAGGGAACUUCUGUGACUUCACAAAAAUGUGAAAUCUGGCACUUGGCAGAGCCUGAAGGAAACAUCUGGGUGCUUUUGAUCAAAGAUGCUUGUGGAAAAUGAGACUGCAGAGCAUCAAGAAUGGCACAGUUUGACAAAGAGAGAGGAAGAAUGCAACACUCCUCAGCAGAAGUUGGGAUGUGAUUUCUGUAGUUUCCUGAGCACACAGAAGAGUGGAGAGGACCUUCUUUGCCCAUUUGCUAGAGAACAGUUGAUAUUACAUUUGACAAUCCCCUAAUCCAAUUUAUAUCCAGCUUGCUGCUGGCCACCUGUGAGCAAUUUUAUUCUGUGGCUUUUUGUUUUAAUCUUGAGAGCUCUCAUUUGUCUGUGGAGGAUGAUUCCCUUGGACUGCCUCAGGAUCUUGGGCCCACCACAACAGCUGGGUACUUAAUUCAGACAUUUGGAGUUACUGAAUCCUGAUUUUUUUGGUAGGAGUUUCAGUCUGUGGGAUGAAUGCUGCACUCAGAAAAUUGCUUUUCAUGCUGUGGUGUUUGCUGCCGUUGUCCUGUGAAGGUGAAGUUGUGUCUCAGUGCAUGCAAAAUGAAAAGUAAAGUAACCUGGCUGGCUGGCUGCUCUUUUAGACAGUAAAAUGAAACAGUCCUUAGCCCCUGGUAAUGGUAUCAGCAGUGUUUUCUUGAUUUAAUAAUCCAGGCAAAAUGAUUUUACUGCCUCAAAUUUCAUUGUGGGGGGUUUGGGAGGGGAUGGUUGUCCCCUGUAAUGAGCUCCAGCUCAGGUAUUUCAAUUUUUCCCCUUGGAUCAGUGAACAUCCCAGGCCCUGAGUGCCGGGGCCAGGGAUGCUGGGGAGGCUCUGCCCUGGCUCUUUCCAUCAGAUUCCAGCACUGCAGCUGCUCCUGCCUGCUCAGGGCUGGGCUCAGGUUUCUGUGGGGGCAGGGGAUGGAGGGAGGUGCUGGGGUACCACAGCCAGGUAGGAUUGUUAUUAUUCCAUGGAAUAUCCUGCGUUGUCAGCUCCACAGCUGACAAAGCUCAUCUGACUUACCUGGUGCCCUGCUGGCCAAAAAUAUUCCUCACUUAGAUGGAAAUGUUUGGGUUUCUUUCAUGGCCAAACACAUCUGCCAGGGUUCUGUUCUGGCCUGUGGAGGUGUGGGUGACGUUUGCCUUCUGAAAGCUGAGAUUUGUGGCCAGUAUGUAAUAACUGAAUUCUGUGUGGUGUGUUCUGUGUCUGACCUGAUCAAAUUCUCUUUUCUCUGUGCCUGUGCCUCUGUGUAUAACAGAAAUGGGGGGAUUUCAGAGUGAGGCUUUUGGAAGUACUUUACACUCACAUUUAAUAGCUGAAGGGUAGUGAGGUGUCUGAGCAAAUUGGUAAAAUUAAUUUAAAGGUGCUUUUUGAGCAGAAAUCUAAAUUCUACUCUCUUACCCCAUGCAUUAUUGAAGUGGUUGAUGGGUUUAUGUCCAGGUAGCACCUAAAACAGGUGAAAAGCUGUGCUUGGACUUUCCUGGAAUGAGAUUAUGUUUAGGAGUGCUUAAUUAAUUACAGAAGGGGAAUUUGCAUGUGCAUUUCUUUAGAUCAGUGAUGCACAUUUUCAUGCUGUGUUUUGAGUGUUGAGAUGGAAGCUGAGACUCUGUUUUGUGCAAAGAAAAUGAAAUAAGAGGAAGAAACGUGAUCUGAAUUAAAUAAAUCUAUUCUUAUCUUGAAUGAUAAAAAGAACAGGGACUGGUUGAAAUUCUGCUUGGACACAAAAACUCCCCACAGACAGACAGUGAAACCUGAAAUUCCUGUUCCUGAAAAAAUCAUGGAGUAUCCUGAGUUGAAAGGGACCCACAGGAUCAUUGAGUCAAGCUCCUGAACCUGCCCAGGACAGCCCCAAAAAUCCUGAGAAUUCAGAGAAUCCUGAGCCUGAGUGCAUUCUCCAAAUGCUUCUUGAGCCUACAUCCAGCCCUUUCCAGCAUCCACAGUCCAAAGCCUCAAAAGAAAGAGCAAAAGGAAACAAAUCAAAGUGUAAAGCUCAUUUUACAGCAAAGACAGAGGCCUGAGCAUGCUCUGGAAGUUCUGGUUUCCUGAGUGUAACCUGCAAAACUGCCUUAAAAUGACUCAAAUAUGAUCAAUUUAAAAUGUGCUCCAAAAGUCAGAUAACUGCAAAGAAAUUUUCUACUUUUGAUUUCACCACUGCUGCUUGAGAAUACUGCACAACCUCUCUCCUGGCUACAGAGGAGGAUGAAGAGAGGACAAAGCCUGUGCCUGUCUCUUCAGCAGCACGAGGCACCCGGGACACAGGUAAAAAGCUGGAAAAAUAAUGGAAGCUGAAACAGGAACACAUCAGCAAUGGGAGAGCCACAGAGGGCCUCAAGACAGCCCUGCUACCUGAUAGAAAAUCAGCCACAGCUCUUCAGGUGCUGAAAGAAAUGAAAAAUCUGCUGUCAGACAGCACUGGAUGAUGUGUGAUGGACAGCUCAGGCCAUCAGUGCUUCAAUUUUUUGGACACAUCCACCUCCAUGCUUUUAUAGGAACACUCACUUGGCCACUUGGCUGCAUCUCCAGCAGUGAUAGCACUCGGUGAGAGCUCUCACAAGGAGAGAAUGUGGAUUUGGAUUCCCCAGGAGCACAAGUUUGCCUGACUUGAUAGUUUCUUAAUGUGUUUUAUUUUUGCUUUCCGUGUCUGAUAGAAUUGUUGAAAUGAAUGAUGUCGUGCAGCAAACUUUGGGAUGCCUGGGGCAGCACUCAGACACACUGAGUGGAAAUAUUAAAAACCUGUCAGAAGGGAAAGGGCUCCUUCCUCUCUAAACUGCCAAUGUUUUAUACACUGCCAGAAACACCUCUGCUUCUCCUGAGCUACCUCGGCUGGUACUGAUGAAAUUUGGUUUUCACUCACCCAGCUCCAGUCGUUGCUUAAGGGCCUGAAGGAGAUGAUUACUUAAGUCAGGGAGCAAUUUAAGGGAGGUGGAAUGUGAGGAGCUUUCUAAGGGAGAGGUAAUGGAGUCGGGUUUAACUCUUGCUGUGACAGCAAAAAAAUGUUGCCUUUCCUUUAGAGGAGGAGUUUGUGUCUAUCCAAAAUCCCUGUGCAUUUUCCUGACCCAUUCCAGCUUCUCUAGCAGUGAGGUGGGAAGGAACCCUUCUCUCUUCCAGGAGUAGCCACAACAUUUCUGCUUCAUUGUCUCUCUUCAUUUCUCAUUUGAUUUAGAAAGAACCAUCUGUGAGUUUGAAUAAACAUUUAAGUGCAGGGAGUAAUAAAACAGAGUUUUAUGGCUGGUAACUUUUUCUGGUGACUAUUUAUGUUUAUUUAGAGACUCAAAGGGAACUCUACAGAGGCUUUUGCUGCAGCCUGGAAUUGGUGGCAGUCCUGAGGCUGGUGUCAAGCCCUGCUUAGAGCCCUUCUGGUCUGCUCAGAGUGCUGAGAGUGGCUGAUCUGUGCAAAUAAAUGUCAUCUGUACAGUUUAGCAGACAAAUAUGUCUGGGGCAGGCACAGCUUGAGGUCAUGUUGAGAAAAUGUUAUCCUAAAGCAAUAGGUUAAAUGGAUAGGGGUAAAUAAAGGCAGCUUCAAGAGCUGUUUGUUGUCCUAUUUAUGUCCAAGCUUUAGGUAUUUGCUCCUAAUUUUAUCUCUAUGUUGAACAUGGGGGAGAAUAAACCUUACAAAUUCUUUCCCCUCUGGCUUUGGAGCUCUUACUGACUGAAAACAAAGUAUAAAUUGCAAUAUUAAUUGUAUUUUA